CUUGGUCAUUUAGAGGAAGUAAAAGUCGUAACAAGGUUUCCGUAGGUGAACCUGCGGAAGGAUCAUUAAAGAAUUGCCCCAUUUUUUGAAAUGGGUUCUAUUCCCAAACCGUGUAUACAUACCUUUGUUGCUUUGGCAAGCCGUCCUUCGGGCGCAGCUUCGGCUGAGAGCGCUUGCCAGAGGACCCCAACUCUUUUGUUUAGUGAUGUCUGAGUACUAUUUAAUAGUUAAAACUUUCAACAACGGAUCUCUUGGUUCUGGCAUCGAUGAAGAACGCAGCGAAAUGCGAUAAGUAAUGUGAAUUGCAGAAUUCAGUGAAUCAUCGAAUCUUUGAACGCACAUUGCACCCUCUGGCAUUCCGGGGGGUAUGCCUGUUCGAGCGUCAUUUCAACCCUCAAGCACUGCUUGGUAUUGGGCGUCACUACCUAAGUGUGCCCUAAAGUUAGUGGCGGCGCCCAUUCGGCUUCCAGCGUAGUAAAUUUCUCGCUGUGGAAACGUAUUGUGCUCCCUGUCAGCAACCCCUAAAUCUUUAAGGUUGACCUCGGAUCAGGUAGGGAUACCCGCUGAACUUAAGCAUAUCAAUAAGCGGAGGA
rnacentral:rRNA from 1 species